GUGCUCUCGUGAAGCUUCUCUGCCUCUCCCCAAUCCCUUACAGGCAGAUGGACUCCAUUUCUUCUUUAUGCCAUUGUACAAAUCUGAUACAUGACUCCAUGAUAGCAUUUCUCACACUGCACGAUCUUCAUGCAGUUUAUUUCUUCUUUUUUGCCUCGGUGCAAUGGCUAGAAUCUCCAGUAAAAUGACCAAUAAAAAUGGCCCUAAGAAUCUUGACAGACUGCUGAGUUCAUUCAUAGCAAGAGAAGAACAUUUCCACCCUUGACUUCUUGGCGUCCAGGUAACAGCCAAAAUGACAACUACUGCUGAGCACUCGUCACUGCCAAAACCAUUUCUAGGCCUCAGGGAUACAGUGUGGAGGCAAGAUGGGCAAAAUUCUUGACAGAACAUACCUUUUAGUCAUCAUUCGGAAAAGGUUACCUCACUUUCCGACUA